GACGAACGCUGGCGGCAUGCCUAACACAUGCAAGUCGAGCGAGGUGAUUCUUUCGGGAUGAACCUAGCGGCGGACGGGUGAGUAACACGUGGGCAACCUGCCUCAUAGAGGGGAAUAGCCUUCCGAAAGGAAGAUUAAUACCGCAUAACAUUGCAUUUUCGCAUGAAGAAGCAAUUAAAGGAGAAAUCCGCUAUGAGAUGGGCCCGCGGCGCAUUAGCUAGUUGGUGAGGUAACGGGCUCACCAAGGCGACGAUGCGUAGCCGACCUGAGAGGGUGAUCGGCCACAUUGGGACUGAGACACGGCCCAGACUCCUACGGGUGGCUG
rnacentral:rRNA from 1 species